CACGUAGGGCGCAAGCGUUGUCCGGAAUUAUUGGGCGUAAAGAGCUCGUAGGCGGUCUGUUGCGUCUGCUGUGAAAACCCGGGGCUUAACCCCUGGCUUGCAGUGGAUACGGACAGACUAGAGGUAGAUAGGGGAGAAUGGAAUUCCCGGUGUAGCGGUGAAAUGCGCAGAUAUCGGGAGGAACACCGGUGGCGAAGGCGGUUCUCUGGGCCUUACCUGACGCUGAGGAGCGAAAGCGUGGGGAGCGAACAGG
rnacentral:rRNA from 1 species